rnacentral:rRNA from 1 species
CCUUUAAUGUUUGAUGUUCUAACGUUGACCCGUGAUCCGGGUUGCGGACAGUGUCUGGUGGGUAGUUUGACUGGGGCGGUCUCCUCCUAAAGAGUAACGGAGGAGCACGAAGGUUGGCUAAUCCUGGUCGGACAUCAGGAGGUUAGUGCAAUGGCAUAAGCCAGCUUGACUGCGAGCGUGACGGCGCGAGCAGGUGCGAAAGCAGGUCAUAGUGAUCCGGUGGUUCUGAAUGGAAGGGCCAUCGCUCAACGGAUAAAAGGUACUCCGGGGAUAACAGGCUGAUACCGCCCAAGAGUUCAUAUCGACGGCGGUGUUUGGCACCUCGAUGUCGGCUCAUCACAUCCUGGGGCUGAAGUAGGUCCCAAGGGUAUGGCUGUUCGCCAUUUAAAGUGGUACGCGAGCUGGGUUUAGAACGUCGUGAGACAGUUCGGUCCCUAUCUGCCGUGGGCGCUGGAGAACUGAGGGGGGCUGCUCCUAGUACGAGAGGACCGGAGUGGACGCAUCACUGGUGUUCGGGUUGUCAUGCCAAUGGCACUGCCCGGUAGCUAAAUGCGGAAGAGAUAAGUGCUGAAAGCAUCUAAGCACGAAACUUGCCCCGAGAUGAGUUCUCCCUGACUCCUUGAGAGUCCUGAAGGAACGUUGAAGACGACGACGUUGAUAGGCCGGGUGUGUAAGCGCAGCGAUGCGUUGAGCUAACCGGUACUAAUGAACCGUGAGGCUUAACCUU